rnacentral:rRNA from 1 species
GGAAUCUGCCUAUUAGUGGGGGACAACAUUCCGAAAGGAAUGCUAAUACCGCAUACGCCCUACGGGGGAAAGCAGGGGAUCUUCGGACCUUGCGCUAAUAGAUGAGCCUAAGUCAGAUUAGCUAGUUGGUGGGGUAAAGGCCUACCAAGGCGACGAUCUGUAGCGGGUCUGAGAGGAUGAUCCGCCACACUGGGACUGAGACACGGCCCAGACUCCUACGGGAGGCAGCAGUGGGGAAUAUUGGACAAUGGGCGAAAGCCUGAUCCAGCCAUGCCGCGUGUGUGAAGAAGGCCUUUUGGUUGUAAAGCACUUUAAGCGAGGAGGAGGCUACCGAGAUUAAUACUCUUGGAUAGUGGACGUUACUCGCAGAAUAAGCACCGGCUAACUCUGUGCCAGCAGCCGCGGUAAUACAGAGGGUGCGAGCGUUAAUCGGAUUUACUGGGCGUAAAGCGUGCGUAGGCGGCUUUUUAAGUCGGAUGUGAAAUCCCUGAGCUUAACUUAGGAAUUGCAUUCGAUACUGGGAAGCUAGAGUAUGGGAGAGGAUGGUAGAAUUCCAGGUGUAGCGGUGAAAUGCGUAGAGAUCUGGAGGAAUACCGAUGGCGAAGGCAGCCAUCUGGCCUAAUACUGACGCUGAGGUACGAAAGCAUGGGGAGCAAACAGGAUUAGAUACCCUGGUAGUCCAUGCCGUAAACGAUGUCUACUAGCCGUUGGGGCCUUUGAGGCUUUAGUGGCGCAGCUAACGCGAUAAGUAGACCGCCUGGGGAGUACGGUCGCAAGACUAAAACUCAAAUGAAUUGACGGGGGCCCGCACAAGCGGUGGAGCAUGUGGUUUAAUUCGAUGCAACGCGAAGAACCUUACCUGGUCUUGACAUAGUAAGAACUUUCCAGAGAUGGAUUGGUGCCUUCGGGAACUUACAUACAGGUGCUGCAUGGCUGUCGUCAGC